CAUAGCGGAGGAAAGAAACUACCAAGGAUUCCCCUAGUAACUGCGAGUGAAGCGGGAAAAGCUCAAAUUUAAAAUCUGAUAGUCUUAGGCUGUCCGAGUUGUAAUCUAGAGAAGUGUUAUCCGCGCUGGACCGUGUACAAGUCUCCUGGAAUGGAGCGUCAUAGAGGGUGAGAAUCCCGUCUUUGACACGGACUACCAGGGCUUUGUGAUGCGCUCUCAAAGAGUCGAGUUGUUUGGGAAUGCAGCUCAAAAUGGGUGGUAAAUUCCAUCUAAAGCUAAAUAUUGGCGAGAGACCGAUAGCGAACAAGUACCGUGAGGGAAAGAUGAAAAGAACUUUGGAAAGAGAGUUAAACAGUACGUGAAAUUGCUGAAAGGGAAACGCUUGAAGUCAGUCGCGUUGACCAGGGAUCAACCUUGCUCUUGCUGGGUGUACUUUCUGGUUAACGGGUCAACAUCAAUUUUGAUUGUUGGAAAAAGAUCAAGGGAAUGUAGCAUCUUCGGAUGUGUUAUAGCCUUUGGUUAUAUACAACAAUUGGGAUUGAGGAACUCAGCACGCCGAAAGGCCGGGUUUUUAACCACGUUCGUGCUUAGGAUGUUGGCAUAAUGGCUUUAAUCGACCCGUCUUGAAACACGGACCAAGGAGUCUAACAUGCCUGCGAGUGUUUGGGUGGAAAACCCGAGCGCGUAAUGAAAGUGAAAGUUGAGAUCCCUGUCGCGGGGAGCAUCGACGCCCGGACCAGAAAUUUAUGGACGGUUCCGCGGUAGAGCAUGUAUGUUGGGACCCGAAAGAUGGUGAACUAUGCCUGAAUAGGGUGAAGCCAGAGGAAACUCUGGUGGAGGCUCGUAGCGAUUCUGACGUGCAAAUCGAUCGUCAAAUUUGGGUAUAGGGGCGAAAGACUAAUCGAACC
rnacentral:rRNA from 1 species